GACGAACGCUGGCGGCGCGCCUAACACAUGCAAGUCGAACGAGCGAGAGAGAGCUUGCUUUCUCGAGCGAGUGGCGAACGGGUGAGUAACGCGUGAGGAACCUGCCUCAAAGAGGGGGACAACAGUUGGAAACGACUGCUAAUACCGCAUAAGCCCACGACCCGGCAUCGGGUAGAGGGAAAAGGAGCAAUCCGCUUUGAGAUGGCCUCGCGUCCGAUUAGCUAGUUGGUGAGGUAACGGCCCACCAAGGCGACGAUCGGUAGCCGGACUGAGAGGUUGAACGGCCACAUUGGGACUGAGACACGGCCCAGACUCCUACGGGAGGCAGCAGUGGGGAAUAUUGCACAAUGGGGGAAACCCUGAUGCAGCGACGCCGCGUGGAGGAAGAAGGUCUUCGGAUUGUAAACUCCUGUUGUUGAGGAAGAUAAUGACGGUACUCAACGAGGAAGUGACGGCUAACUACGUG
rnacentral:rRNA from 1 species